rnacentral:rRNA from 1 species
AUUGAACGCUGGCGGAAUGCUUUACACAUGCAAGUCGAACGGCAGCACGGGGGCAACCCUGGUGGCGAGUGGCGAACGGGUGAGUAAUACAUCGGAACGUGCCCAGUCGGGGGGGAUAACGUAGCGAAAGUUACGCUAAUACCGCAUACGAUCUACGGAUGAAAGCGGGGGACCGUAAGGCCUCGCGCGAUUGGAGCGGCCGAUGUCAGAUGAGGUAGUUGGUGAGGUAAAGGCUCACCAAGCCGACGAUCUGUAUCUGGUCUGAGAGGACGACCAGCCACACUGGGACUGAGACACGGCCCAGACUCCUACGGGGGGCAGCAGUGGGGAAUUUUGGACAAUGGGCGCAAGCCUGAUCCAGCCAUUCCGCGUGCAGGACGAAGGCCUUCGGGUUGUAAACUGCUUUUGUACGGAACGAAAAGGCUCUGGUUAAUACCUGGGGCUCAUGACGGUACCGUAAGAAUAAGCACCGGCUAACUACGUGCCAGCCGCCGCAGUAA